rnacentral:rRNA from 1 species
GACGAACGCGGCGGCGUGCUUAACACAUGCAAGUCGAACGAAGAGCGAUGGAAGCUUGCUUCUAUCAAUCUUAGUGGCGAACGGGUGAGUAACGCGUAAUCAACCUGCCCUUCAGAGGGGGAUAACAGUUGGAAACGACUGCUAAUACCGCAUACGAUCUAAUCUCGGCAUCGAGGAUAGAUGAAAGGUGGCCUCUACAUGUAAGCUAUCACUGAAGGAGGGGAUUGCGUCUGAUUAGCUAGUUGGAGGGGUAACGGCCCACCAAGGCGAUGAUCAGUAGCCGGUCUGAGAGGAUGAACGGCCACAUUGGGACUGAGACACGGCCCAGACUCCUACGGGAGGCAGCAGUGGGGAAUCUUCCGCAAUGGACGAAAGUCUGACGGAGCAACGCCGCGUGAGUGAUGACGGCCUUCGGGUUGUAAAGCUCUGUUAAUCGGGACGAAAGGCCUUCUUGCGAAUAGUGAGAAAGGA